GAUGAACGCUGGCGGCGUGCUUUACACAUGCAAGUCGAACGAAGCACUUUCUUUGAUUUCUUUCGGGUCUGAUUAUUUUGUGACUUAGUGGCGGACGGGUGAGUAACGCGGGGGUAACCUGCCUUGUACAGGGGUAUUACCGCUGGAAACGGCUGCUAAUACCGCAUAAGCGCACAGCAUCCCCUCAUGCAGUGUGACAAACUCCGGUGGUAUAAGAUGGACGCGCGUUGGAUUAGCUAGUUGGUGAGGUAACGGCCCACCAAGGCGACGAUCCAUAGCCGACCAGAGAGGGUGACCGGCCACAUUGGGACUGGGACACGGCCCAAACUCCUGCGGGAGGCAGCAGAGGGGAAUAUUGCACAAUGGGCGAAAGCCAGAUGCAGCGACGGCGGGUAAGCGAAGAAGUAUGUCAGGAAGUGAAGCUCUAUCAGCAGGGAAGAUAAUGACGGUACCGGAAUAAGAAGCACCGGCUAAAUACGUG
rnacentral:rRNA from 1 species